GCAAUUGUUUAUUUACAUUUCUUAUCUCCUUUUGUUGGCAUUUCGACUACUUUGUUAUUAGUUGGUUGGUAUAAUAAUAGGCUGACAUCCAUCCCUGCAUGUUCUCACGGUAGCUUCAAACACAAGGAAAUUUGAUUCGGGUAUUUUAAAAGCAUUGAAACGAGCUUCCAAAGAGUCACCGUUACGUCCUUUGUCUAGUUCAGGGAAGACAUCCGGAUCCACGGGACAUCUAACAACAUCCUGUCGAUAAGCUGCACAGAACGUCCUGAAUAUGGAUCUCUGGCGAUCACGUUUGUGGCGAAUAUGUCUGUGGCGUAAUUAUAUCCAUCC